AAGACUAUACUUUCAGGGAUCAUUUCUAUAGUUCACUACUAGAGAAGUGUCUCUGAACGUGCAGAGCACCCGAAACCACGAGGAGGAGGCGCAGUGUUCUCUCCUGAGCGUGAAGCCGGCUUUUGGUGGUGUUUUGCAACUGCCAAUAGCCACUGGUGAUCGUUCUUAUCUUCCUUUGGAAGAGGAAGAGGGAAAGAAUGCAGUCUGAGUGGU